rnacentral:lncRNA from 1 species
CACAUAGCAACAAUUUAAAUCUUUCUUUUUUCGUGAAUACUGCCUUCGAAACCUAUGAUACCUGAUUUACUGGUCAUUUUAUGUUUAUGAAGAUUCGUCGUAUUUAUGCAACAUAAAGAAUGCCUGAUGAAAUGAAAAUCUCUUAGCCAAGUUCAUGCUGCUGUUAGCUUGGCCAAAGUGCGUAAACUUCUACAUUUGAUAGCCCUGAAACUUCUUCUUAAACUUAAUUUUGCUCAAACAGGCUGUCAAAGGUGCUGAUAACUAGCAAAUUGGAGGAGUUAAGGCUGUCUCAUUUUCAUUUUACUUGGUUAACAAGAUACCAGGACAGAAGAUUGAGACUGGUCACCAGGAUACAGUUCAUGAUGUGGCAAUGGACUACUAUGGCAAGUGUCUUGCAACAGCUUUUUCAAAUAACACCAUUAAGAUAAUUGGUGUUAGUAAUUCAAACUCGCAGCCUCUUGCAACUUUAAGCGGUCACCAAGGACCGGUAUGGCAAGUAGCAUUGACGCACCCCAAGUUAGGGUCCAUUGUUGCGUCAUGCUCCUAUGAUGAAAAAGUCAUAAUAUGGAGGGAAGGGAAUCAGAAUGAGUGGAGCCAGGCCCAUCUUUUCGGUGACCAUAAAGCUUCUGUGAAUUCUAUUGCAUGGGCUCCUCAUGAGCUGGGCCUUUGUUUGGCAUGUGGAUCCUCAGAUGGGAACAUAUCAAUUUUUACUGCGAGGUCUGAUAAUAGUUGGGAUACAUCCCAGAUUGACCAGGCUCACCCGGUUGGCGUUACCUCCGUCUCGUGGGCACCAUCAACAGCUCCCGGUGCUCUUGUAGGUUCUGGUGUGUUCGAUCCUGUUCAGAAGCUUGCCUCUGGAGGAUGUGAUAAUGCGGUGAAAGUGUGGAAGCUUUAUAACAGAAUCUGGAAGAUGGACUGAUUCCCAGCUCUUCAAAUGCAUACCGAUUGGGUAAGAGAUGUUGCAUGGGCACCCAAUUUGGGACUCCCAAAGUCAACAAUUGCUAGUGCUUCUCAAGAUGGAAGAGUUAUCAUAUGGACCGUGAUGAAGGAGGGUGAUCAAUGGGAGGACAAAGUUUUGAAGGAUUUCAAGACCCCUGUUUGGAGAGUCUCAUGGUCACUGACAGGAAACAUACUUGUCGUGGCAGAUGGCAGUAACAACGUGACAUUGUGGAAGGAAGAAGUGGAUGGAGAGUGGCAGCAGGUGACAACAGUUUGACUUUUGACUUCUUCUCAGCAGUAUGAUAUCUCUUGUAAUUUCACAUAUAUGGUUCUAAUGUGCUUGGACUCCUCCACGUAAGUCUUUUGACUUGUUAUGGACCAGAUCAUGAUGACGAGCCUUUGAGCUGAAUACUAACUAGAUAAGACACUUUCUGCUUCUACUCUUGCUCACCGAAUAGUUUUUCAUUUCAAUUUCUGGCCAUUGUCAUAAGUUUUGCUUGCGGAGAACAGCUUCAUUCCUGUCACCCAUCAACUACUGCAUGUGUGGAAAAAAAAAACACAUUUCCUGCUAGUCUGGGCAUUGAUAUGGUUUGGUGUUGCUUAGUAAUUUUCACGGGAGAAUUAUUGAGAUGACAGGGAGGAUAAAAGUAAUAGUUGCAUUAUGGGACUCCCUAUUCCAACUCACGGGCCUUCUCUUUGGGCCCAUGACGCAAUCCUAUGAUUUGUUUUUAGGCAGCCCAACAAACAAUUUGAGGAAGGUAAGUUGGGCUGAAUGACUGACAAAUAGUUUCAGGAAAUGACAACUAUGCGAAGUUGUAAAAAGAGAAGCUGAAGGAGUCCCUCAUUGUCUUCUUGCAGGCAUAUCAACGGUAAGCAUGGAAUUAAAGAGAGUAAUGAUUGAGAAAAUGUGGCCACAUUCUGCGGGCAAGAGGCACGUGCAGUGUGUGCCUUUCACGUGACGAUCCUACACUUGCAGCCAGGUUGGUUGCGGACAUGCAUGCAUGCAUACUGUUGGCACACGUGUGGGGAAGUAUCAAAGAGAAGACGGUGAGGCAAAUGACCUAUGGCGAGAGCUCGGAACGGGAUUCCAAUUUCGCUUCCGGCUAUGACUACGAGCUACUUACUUAGGUUGUGUUUGGAUUGCAUUUUUCAUGAAAAAAUUACUGUAGCGAUUUGACGUAUGUGAGGGAAAAAGAUAAUAAGGAAAUGUAAUCACGGAAAAUGACGUAAUUUUUCGACGAAAAAUCGCAAUCCAAACAAGGCCUAAUUUAUUUGCCCGCCCGUCCAUGAAUGUAAUAAUAAUGUACUCAGGCUGUAACAACUAGCAACUUGAAUUUGGACCACCGCUUGCUUGGUAGUUGGUACGUGGCCGGCCAAUCUGACUUGGAACUCAAACCUAAUAAACUGGCAAGAGGUGUGGUAUCUAAUUCUAAGCAGCACAUACUCUAUAAGAUAACUAAUUCUAUAAUGAGGUAUUUGCAUCUGUGAACGGUUCAUAUAAAGUCCGCCUCACACUCACAACGGGCAUAGCUCUUCUACACUGUAUGCGUGUCAUUUGAGGCAAUGUCAUACAUUAACUUUGAUAAAAAUUGACAAAAGAGAGACCAAAACUCAGGAAAACUAUUUUUUUACGCUAAAGGUUGUAUUCGUUCCCAUUUUCUUUAAUAACUAACAAAUUUAAAGAGAGGGUCCCAAAUGCGACUUUGUGCGACCCCUAUCUAUCUCAACAUUGAUAAGAAAUGGUCCUAUAACUCGAUUUGAAUCUACUAAAGCAACGUUAAUAAAGGGCCUAUGUUUUAUGUUGUUAUCAAAGUUUUAGUUAAAUAUAUUAAACAACUGCACAUAAUGAUUAGUGGCAGAUGUUUUCUAGAUAAUCAAAGUUCUUCUACAUGGCAUAUAAAAUGUUAAAGCACUCGAACAGGAAAUAAAACGAAAUGAAACAAAAGAACUUAUCACGAUAAUCGGUUUCCCAUUUGUUAAGUCUGAUAUCAUUGAUCUUCAUCUUGAAAUUUCUCCCUACCUCACUUAAACAAAACAAAACAAAAGAAACUACUAUAUAAUGGUCCUAAUGGUAUAAAGAUGAAGAGGAGCAAGCUUUUGUUCAAUCCACACAAUUUUCCUCGGAGAAAAUCAUGCUUAUUAACAAUUAAUUAGGUAAAUCAAUUAGCAAGGAUCAAUAACCGCUCCAACCAAAAAAGAAAAAGAAAAAGAAACUUCCAGAGAUGCGGAAACUGAUUAGACAAUGAAAAAACAAAGCCAACGAAAGUUGUUUUUAGCCAACAAACUAAACCACCUCUGCACCAAGCAUCUUCUAACCAUCUGGACCUUCUUUAUCACCUUCUUCUCCACUAUUUUCUUCAGUUUCUUCUCCUCUAAUCCCUGUAGACUCUUCUUCCCUGCCAAUGGCGAGGCUUUUAGCAGAAUCCUUUUUAAGUUUCAAUAUCAAUGACUCAAUCAUUUGAAGUUCAAAAUCUAUAUCAAAAUCAGCCAUUGUGGAGUCCACCUCAUAUCCACCGAACACCUUCUUUAGUAGGGCCUUUCCUUCGUCAAUUUCUAGCUUGAUUCCAGCCAACAAGCCACCAUGUUCUAAAACCGACAACAAGAACAAGAGAUCAGAAAAUUUCUUUGUCAUGGUUUCAUCAAGAUCUUCAAACAAACCUUUGACAGAAUAGGGAAUAUGCUGGGCAAGAUUUAGCUUUUGAAAUGUGGAAGGAUGAACCACAAUCUUUACACAACCAGGCUCUGUCCUCCUAUUUAGGAGGACUUUAAUGUCCAUUGGAAUGAGACACUUUUUUACCAAAGACCUUCCCACUUCUUCAAGUGUGAGAGAUUCUCUGAGAACCUUGCUAUACCAGGCCGCUAAACCUAUUAUCCGAGCUCUCAUUGUAAGGUUUUGAGGAUUUUAGAUGAGGUUUGAGUAUUUUUUGGUUGAUUUGUAGGGUUUAGUGUUCUUCGUAUGGUGAAAGGAUGAAGUGGAGAAAAAGCAUAAUGCCCAUGCGCCAAGUAGUUGGAAGAAAACCUAAAUAUGCCAUAGUUGAAGUCCAUCAUGGACUGAUAUGUCAGAUUGGAUUUGAGCGGAGAAAGAAAGAAAAAGACUCCGCUUUGCUAUGCAUUGUUUCCAUUAGCUAAAACACUAGGGGGCAGGGGCUGUUGCGUGCCAGGUCUAGAGGAGAAAGAGGCGUACUGCGUACGAACGAGCGAAGAGUAUUUAAAAGCGGGAUUCAAGUGUGGGACCCACCUCUACCAGCGCGUACUUGAGUGUGGGACGCUCUUCGAGGAACUUUUUCCUUACUCGGCUAAACCUACCGCUAAGUGCUAUACUAUACCUGGUACAAAUUUCUGCUGACUAGUGGGUAAAUCAUUUUUACGUCCCUGGUAAUUUGGUGCUCUCUAGUUGAUAGUACCACACAUACAUGAUCUAUUUUACCUCCAAAAAAAAUCUGUACAUAUAAUUGUAGAGAUAAUUUGAGAAACCUCCCUUAAGAUUUCUAACAAUUUCACUAGCCUCCUCUAAAUUUUAUAAAAUUAUACAAACCUCCCAUAAGGUUAUAAUUUUGAUAACAAAGUUAUUCCAAUUAGAAAAAAGUAACAUUAAAAAAGUAUUUUAAAAAAAGAGACGAAAUUUUUAUUUCAUAAAUACCCUUUAUGCAUGUAUAUAAGUCAUAUUAUUAAAAGAAUAAAAAUAAAUAAAACUUAGGAACAGUUAAUAAACACAUGUAACCACUCAAAAAGUUUACAUUUAAUAAAUUAGAUAAUACAAAUAAGCAACAAAAUUACACUAAUGAUUAUAAAAUUCAGUAAAAUAGGUUAGUCAUCUCUUUUGACUUGAUGUUUGCUAUAAUUCUUACGAUUUUAAAUAGAAAAAUUUUCAAAUUUUAUCUUUCUUUUCCCCUCAUUUCUGCCUUAUUAAUUAAAUGUGAAUAUAUAGUUCUAGAUUUAUGGUCAUCAUAAAAAUUUAAAGGGUUAAUCACAAUUAAUCCUCUUAAGGUAUACUUCAUUUCUCACUUUACCCCCUAACUUUUAAUUUUGCUCACUUAACCCCCUAUAGGACAAAAUUACCCUUCCAUUAUUUUGAUUAUUCAUUUAUCUUUUUUCCUCUCUUUUAUUUCUUUUUCUCUUUCUUCUUUCUUCUCUCUUUCAUCCUUCCUAGUAGAAAACUCCAUCUCAACGAAAAUUUUUAUCUUGAAUUUAUAAUUGCAUUUUUGGGUGAAAGUUUAAAAUGCACCAAAACUAAUUUUUAUUUUGUGUAUGAUGCCACAUGUCACAAUUUUCAAUUGAUUAUUAUUAAUCAGGUCACAAUUUCAUCUUUUGAUAUUUUCUUGAGAAUAAAAUGAGAAACUAUAAAGAAAAGAGGAAAAAUAAAAAAUUAAAAGAAUUGAAAGAAUUUGAAAAAAAUUGUAUUUUAGGAAAGUGGUUUGAAUAUUUUGUAAUCAUUUUAGGAGAAAAUAGGUCUCUGCAAUUCCUCUUUUUAAAUUUCAAUCAUUAAGAUGAAGAUUUUUUGUGGGAAAGAGAAAGAAUUAAAGAAAGAAAAAAGAGGCAAAGAAAAUAAAGGAGCACAAAAGGGGAAAGGGAAAAAAAUAAAAGAGAAAAAUAAGAGUUUAGAAUAGUAGAGGGAUAAUUUUGUCCAAUAGGGGAUAAAGUGAGACAAAAAAAUGGUUAGGGGGUAAAGUGAGAAAUGAGGUAUACUUUAGGGGGAUUAAUUGUGAUUAACCCAAAUUUAAAUUAUCAAAAAAAAUAUUUAUAAAUAUCAAAAUUUUGAUAUGGAAUACAUUGUUUGAUAUAUACUAUCAUAUUAUAGUGAAAGUAUGUGAAUUUUUUUUUAAAAUUAAUAAAUAAUUGAAUAUUUAGAAUACAUUAAUUUUUAAAAUUAAUAGGAAUGAAUAUAUAGUAUUGUUGUUAUUUUUUAUAUUUAAAUUAUUUAUAUUUAUAUAAAUUUAUAAUAAAUAAGAAAAUAGACUAUGUUAAGGCACAGACCAAAUUUUAGUUUUUAUUUUGAAAAGUACAUUUCUUUUGGUUCAGCUCGAGAAGUAUUAAAUGGUAGUAUCUUUUUGGCGCCUAGAUAAAUUACAGGUAAUGGGCCUUGGUCAAUGCUAAGGCUCUAAGUUGGGCCCAAAACAAAUCACCUGUAACGGGCCUUUUAGCAAGCUCAGAGUGCAUUAUAUUAGACGGCAGUGGCAGAAUUGUGCCAUCGCGAAGUCGGGGACAACUUGACAACGAGUGGAGGCAUUUCAGCAGAGAUCUUGGCGUCUAACUUCUUCCCUCUUCGUCUCUCUAGGUUUGCCGGUCUGAAACCCACAUAUUACCUACUAGUGUUUUCGAUAAUCGAUUUGAAUAGCCUUUUUUUUUUGGUUGUUUUCCUGAUUGGUUUCUGUGCUUGAGGGUUCUAUCAACUUGAGUUUGAGUGUAAUGUCUAGUGUCUAGAAAUCUAGAAAUUCUAUCAAUCUAAGUCACUGAUGGUUCAAGGGAAUUGGGAAAAGGUACAAACUAGAAAAACCUUUAUUUUUGGUUCGGUUUGUUGUUCCUUACCACUUGUUGAGCAGAUUGACUUGGCCAAAAGUCACAAAUUUGGUUAGGCUAAUUACUGAUCAUCGAUGAAAAGAUUAUUGGAUGAUGUCUUAGGAAAGCGUACUUGAUACCCUUUUUCCCCUUCCUUUUCUUGCUUGAUAUGCUUGUAGUUGUAAUUUUCAGUUAGAUGAUUAGGAUACCAAUUUGAUUUAAAGGAGGUCUGGGAAAUACUAAGAUGGUGCUGUCAUGUCUUGUAGAAUUUUUUUUUUCAAACCUUCUUGGAUGAAAGGGUACACCAAUAUCUUAUCUUAUUUUUAAAGUGCAUUAACAUGGUUUUGAACUGAAUUGUGAGUUACUUAUUGAUGUCUGUUUGACAUGUAUGGUAAUGUUGCUUAUUGUUGCAUUUUGGGCUCAUGACAUUUCUGAAUCUCAUAUUAAAGCACGAACUAGUUAUCCAAAUUUAUGGAGUAGGGUAUUUGGAAAUUGGAUGGAAUUACAGGAUUUUCUUCUUGCAUUUUCUGCCUUUGCUUUUACUACUACAUCAACUUUAGUAGUUCUGUGGAACUAAUUUCGAUGUCCUGCGUGUUGUCAGCCUUGAGCAGUAAUUCCCACUGAGUACCUAGCAUUCUCAUUCAGACUAAGAUCAAGCUAGUACAUUGAUGUUUUUCAUUACUGUAUAGCUUGAUCAAUGAGUGGCAACGCAAUAAACUCUGACCUGUCAAUUAGUUCCUGCUUAUAAAUUCCGUCCUAUUUUCUGCUAAAUUUCUUACAUACAGUUGUGUUUCCGGUUAUGAGAAGUAAACCUGCUCUCAGUGCUGAAGAUUCAUACUAAUGUUAAGCAAUUUGUAGUUAUUGGCAGUAGAUUGACUUUUGUUGCACAUUAUCUGACAAUUUAUCAUCGUUUCCAUCCUGUAUAUU